GAUGAACGCUAGCUACAGGCUUAACACAUGCAAGUCGAGGGGUAACGAGAGGAAAGCUUGCUUUCCUUGUCGACGACCGGCGCACGGGUGAGUAACGCGUAUCCAACCUGCCCCCAACUAGGGAAUAACCUUGCGAAAGUAAGACUAAUACCCUAUAAUUUCCUCAGAUGACAUCUGACGAGGAAUAAAGAUUUAUCGGUUGUGGAUGGGGAUGCGUCUGAUUAGCUUGUUGGCGGGGUAACGGCCCACCAAGGCAACGAGCAGUAGGGGUGCUGAGAGGAAGUGCCACCCAAUUGGGACUGCGACACGGUCCAAACUCCUACGGGAGGCCGCAGUGAGGAAUAUUGGGCAAUGGGCGGAAGCCUGAACCAGCCAAGUAGAGUGCGGGAUGACGGCCCUAUGGGUUGUAAACUGCUUUUAUACAGGAAUAAAGUUAGCCACGUGUGGUUAUUUGUAGGUACUGUAUGAAUAAGGACCGGCUAACUCCGUGCCAGCCGCCGCCGUAA
rnacentral:rRNA from 1 species